UGUCGGGUAAGUUCCGACCCGCACGAAAGGCGUAACGAUUUGGGCACUGUCUCAACAACAGACUCGGUGAAAUUGUAAUUCCGGUGAAGAUGCCGGAUACCUGCGACAGGACGGAAAGACCCCAUGGAGCUUUACUGUAGCUUGACAUUGGGUCUUGGUACUACAUGUACAGGAUAGGUGGGAGGCUUUGAAACCAGGACGCCAGUUUUGGCGGAGCCAUCCUUGGGAUACCACCCUUGUAGUACUGGGACUCUA
rnacentral:rRNA from 1 species